UACGUAGGCAGCGAGCGUUGUUCGGAGUUACUGGGCGUAAAGGGUGUGUAGGCGGUUGUUUAAGUUUGGUGUGAAAUCUCCCGGCUCAACUGGGAGGGUGCGCCGAAUACUGAAUGACUUGGAGUGCGGGAGAGGAGAGUGGAAUUCCUGGUGUAGCGGUGAAAUGCGUAGAUAUCGGGAGGAACACCUGUGGCGAAAGCGGCUCACUGGACCACAACUGACGCUGAUGCGCGAAAGCUAGGGGAGCAAACAGG
rnacentral:rRNA from 1 species